GUCUGUGGCCAUGCCACCCUGAAGGCGCCCGAUCCUGUCUGAUCGAGGAAGCUAAGCAGGGUAGGGCUUGGUUAGUACUUGGAUGGGAGACCACCUAGGAAGACUGGGUGCUGUAGGCA
rnacentral:rRNA from 1 species